GUGCUUCCAAAGUACGUAUACCAAAAUUGGAAUGAUACAGAGAACAUUUUCAUAGCCCCUGCGCAAGGAUGACACGCAAAAUUAGAAGCACCUCCAAUACGU
rnacentral:snRNA from 1 species